AAGUACGCUGGCGGCACGCCUAACACAUGCAAGUCGAACGAAGUAGCAAUACUUAGUGGCAGACGGGUGAGUAACAUGUAGGUAUCUGCCCUUUGGCCUGGAAUAACACGAGGAAACUUGUGCUAAUACCGGAUAAGUCUUUACGGAGAAAGCUUUAUGCACCAUUGGAUGAGCCUGCACUUGAUUAGUUUGUUGGUGGGGUAAUGGCCUACCAAGACUGUGAUCAAUAGCUGAUUUGAGAGGAUGAUCAGCCACAUUGGGACUGAGACACGGCCCAAACUCCUACGGGAGGCAGCAGUGGGGAAUCUUGCACAAUGGAGGAAACUCUGAUGCAGCGAUGCCGCGUGAGUGAAGAAGGCCUUUGGGUUGUAAAGCUCUUUCGUCGGGGAAGAAAAUGACUGUACCCGAAUAAGAAGGUCCGGCUAACUUCGUGCCAGCAGCCGCGGUAAUACGAAGGGACCUAGCGUAGUUCGGAAUUACUGGGCUUAAAGAGUUCGUAGGUGGUUGAAAAAGUUGGUGGUGAAAUC
rnacentral:rRNA from 1 species